UGUUAACAGAAGAGCAGCAUUAUUGGUUC
rnacentral:piRNA from 1 species